rnacentral:tRNA from 1 species
AGUGGUACAGCUCAAGUGGUAGAGCGCAUGCUUCGUCUGCAUGAGGUCCUGGGUUCAAUCCCCAGUACCUCCC